GGUUCAGUGGUGUAGUUGGUUAUCACACUUGUCUAACACCUUUCUUAGCUUGAGAGAUGUCGGACACAAGUGGUCCCCGGUUCGAGUCCGGGCUGAAUCA